UUUUGUCUAAUUGUCUUCCACUAUUUUAACAAACUUCAUAGCCCUCAAGUAUGAAAAUUGAAAAACAUACUUAUGUUUCUUAGUGGGGUUGAGAUCCUUAUUCCUCAUAAAUACCUUAUGGAUAACACAACAAGUAUUCAUCAGUUCAAGAGUAGGUAACUCUUUAUCAAUUAUACUUAUAUAAUUCUCAAUAUUUUUUCUCUUGCCUCU
rnacentral:lncRNA from 1 species